UCAAUUCCCAAAAUUUCAGAUGCUGAAGUUGGUAAUGGUAUCGCUUGCUGGACUGGUGCAGUGUUCUUAGACAAAGUGCAGAGUGCACUUAGAGUAACCACAUAAAUUAUUGUGCGUUUCUCGAAUGAAGUUUAAACUCACAAGACAAAUAUUUUCUGGUUGAUGUAAUGUGGAAGUAUGCAGUCAUCAUGUUUUUAGUUUUAUCUAUUUUACCCCAUUUGAACUUUCCUAUGCCUUGGAAUAUGUCUUGUUUCUAAUCGGCGUAAUCCCAACUGUCUGAAUUAACAAAAGUUUGAAACUUUAUGAUUUUCUUCAUCAGCAUUAGUUUCCUUAUUAUAGGAUUGGUGUAUAGAAGAAUAUCCAUACAACACAUGAGUUUAUUUUUUCUUUUGAAAGAUAUUAGUUGUCUUACACUUUCUUUGUUCUUUUGGAAGAUAUUAGUUGUCUUACACUGUAUGGAUUCUUGAGGUGUCAACUAGAUGUGUGUAUACAGGAGUUGAUAAUUUAUUUCUUCUAUUCUUGCUACGAGAAUUGAACGCAACUUAUCUGGAGUUUUGUUUCGCACAAAAGAAGUCUCAUCUAGACACCAUUAGCUAUUAGUCUGGCAACUGACUAUCAUGUAUGUUCUCUGAAUCUCGUUUACUUAUCCAUGUUCUUGUUUCCCUCCUUCUGUAUUGCAAUAAGCGGCUUGUUUUAAUUUGUUUCAAAAACAUCCGUCAUUUAACAAUCUGAUUAGUCUUCUAUUUAUUCCUCCAACUCACUCUGUCUAGACAAUAACUCGUGCUUUAUUUUCUAUGCUUGUUUGAAAAACAUAGCUGGAAAAUCAAUGAUUUUGCUGCCAUGUCUGGAGAUAAUUGCUCUUUUGUGUCGUUCGACCUGUUUUCUUCCACCUGUUGAGGUCGUGCCCAGUGGGGAGGCACACUGGCGCUCGUCAUUUGUGUCGCUGUGUGAAGUGCUCUUGUUAUGCAUGGUGGGUGUAGGGAGCUACUUCCUGUUGGAAUUACGGCGCAUGCGCUUGUAUGGCUGGUCGAUAGUGGAGAUGGCACAUUGGCGAGCCCCGACGAGAUGCUGCUCUCUGUAUGGGCCAUCACUUAAUUCUGCAACUUUCUAUUGAUGCCAUUGUCCGCCAUGGCUUGCUUCCUGUACUCUGCUCCCCACUUGUUACAACUGAGUGCCAUAAUGUAGUAAAUGGGAACGUAACAUAAUAACUCUGAUAGCCUAACCAUACAGUCACAUUGACCUUACAUGCUUUCCGUGAUCAUGUUUUGUUGUGUGAGGUAUUGUGGAGGCAACUGAUACAAUUCUUGCAGGCAGGUAUAGAUGUUACCAUGCUGUCGUCCAUUGACUUCUUUGAGGGUAUUUACACUAGAAUUGCAACACACUUAUUUCUUGUGUUGGCAAUUUACUAUACUUGCUAAUUGGAUGCAUUCUUGGAAAAUUCAAAGGGUUGCAGUCUCAGAUGUUGCAAAUGAUUGCAAGAAGAUAAUCGCAGAUUGCUUCGAGUUUGUGAUGGGUUCGGUCCCAUUGUGUGUAAUCUUUUUAAGUCUAAG
rnacentral:lncRNA from 1 species